rnacentral:rRNA from 1 species
GAUGAACGCUGGCGGCGUGCCUAAUACAUGCAAGUCGAGCGAACAGACGAGGAGCUUGCUCCUCUGACGUUAGCGGCGGACGGGUGAGUAACGCGUGGAUAACCUACCUAUAAGACUGGGAUAACUUCGGGAAACCGGAGCUAAUACCGGAUAAUAUAUUGAACCGCAUGGUUCAAUAGUGAAAGACGGUUUUGCUGUCACUUAUAGAUGGAUCCGCGCCGCAUUAGCUAGUUGGUAAGGUAACGGCUUACCAAGGCAACGAUGCGUAGCCGACCUGAGAGGGUGAUCGGCCACACUGGAACUGAGACACGGUCCAGACUCCUACGGGAGGCAGCAGUAGGGAAUCUUCCGCAAUGGGCGAAAGCCUGACGGAGCAACGCCGCGUGAGUGAUGAAGGUCCUCGGAUCGUAAAACUCUGUUAUUAGGGAAGAACAAAUGUGUAAGUAACUAUGCACGUCUUGACGGUACCUAAUCAGAAAGCCACGGCUAACUACGUG